CUCCAAUUAAAAGUUACCUUUGAUGUUAAGAAAUAAAAGCAGGAGCUGUGGGGCUUGUGUUGUGAGUAGUUGAGCGAGGCUAUAAUUUGUUGUACAUUUCGGCCAUGGUUGGGUGUCUGUCACACUGACGCAAACAAACACUCGCACACAUGAAUAGAUAGAAUACAAAUAUGGCAAGCGCUGAGCUAUUUUGUUAUUUCGAUUGCCCCAUCGACAGUCAUCGAGGGUUUCCGGGUAGCUUUGGCUUUGGCUUUUUUUACAGCUGGCCUGGGCGGCACACCUGCUAACGUAACUGGAUAUUGCAUAUUUCGCUGUAAACUAAUAUGCCGCCUGAUGUAUGAAUAACUGGGGGAUAUAUAACCACCCAGAGCCACACAGUCACAACCCGAGAGCCAUGCCUGGAGCCUGGAUUUGGCCCUCAGCCGCUUGCUGUCACAUCCGCUCGCACAGGAUAUGAAAUCCACUCUGCUGCAGUCGCGUUGUCCCCGACUUUUUCUGCUCCAUAACAUUCGUUUUGUUGUGCCACUAUUUGUCCGAUUUGUGGGCCAAUCCGCACUCGAUUUCUCGCUUCUUUGCUGCCAGUUUUUAUGUGUUGUUUGGCUCUUGUCAGCUGGGGCUGGCUGUCGGCAGGCAAAUUGAAAUGUUUGCCCGGGCCACUGGUUCGCCCGACGGCCCCAACGUUCCACUCCAGCUUGCUUUGUUUGUU
rnacentral:lncRNA from 1 species